rnacentral:misc_RNA from 2 species
ACACCUCAACUCUCAUGGUUUGCCAUGAUGAGCUUGGACUUUGGGGGUCUUGCUGGCCUGUUGGUCGGCUCCUCUCAAAUGAAUCAGCUUGCCAGUGUUUGGUGGCAUCACAGGUGUGAUAACUAUCUACGCUUGUCGCUGUCCGCCAGGUAACCUUCAGCGAUGGAGGUUCGCUGGAGCUCAUAGACGUCUCUCCUCAGCGAGGACAGCUUUUGAAC